AACGAACGCUGGCGGCAUGCCUAACACAUGCAAGUCGAACGAUGCUUUCGGGCAUAGUGGCGCACGGGUGCGUAACGCGUGGGAAUCUGCCCUUGGGUUCGGAAUAACAGUGAGAAAUUGCUGCUAAUACCGGAUGAUGUCUUCGGACCAAAGAUUUAUCGCCCAGGGAUGAGCCCGCGUAGGAUUAGCUAGUUGGUGGGGUAAUGGCCUACCAAGGCGACGAUCCUUAGCUGGUCUGAGAGGAUGAUCAGCCACACUGGGACUGAGACACGGCCCAGACUCCUACGGGAGGGAGCAGUGGGGAAUAUUGGAGAAUGGGCGCAAGCCUGAUCCAGCAAUGCCGCGUGAGUGAUGAAGGCCUUAGGGUUGUAAAGCUCUUUUACCCGGGAUGAUAAUGACAGUACCGGGAGAAUAAGCUCCGGCUAACUCCGUG
rnacentral:rRNA from 1 species